rnacentral:rRNA from 1 species
CCUACGGGAGGCUGCAGUCGAGGAUCUUCGGCAAUGGGCGCAAGCCUGACCGAGCGACGCCGCGUGUGCGAUGAAGGCCUUCGGGUUGUAAAGCACUGCGGGAAAACAGGUCGAUCUCUGGAGGAAGCACGGGCUAAGUUCGUGCCAGCAGCCGCGGUAAGACGAACCGUGCGAACGUUGUUCGGAUUCACUGGGCUUAAAGGGCGCGUAGGCGGGUGAUCAAGUCAGGGGUGAAAUCCUCCAGCUUAACUGGAGAAUAGCCUUUGAUACUGGUCGUCUUGAGGAAGGUAGGGGCAUGUGGAACUUCCGGUGGAGCGGUGAAAUGCGUAGAUAUCGGAAGGAACGCCGGUGGCGAAAGCGACGUGCUGGACUUUCUGACGCUGAGGCGCGAAAGCCAGGGGAGCAAACGGGAUUAGAUACCCUUGUAGUC